CCUACGGGGCGCAGCAGUGAGGAAUAUUGGUCAAUGGUCGGGAGACUGAACCAGCCAAGCCGCGUGAGGGAGGAAGGUACAGAGUAUCGUAAACCUCUUUUGUUAGGGAACAAAGGCGGGGACGUGUCCCCGGAUGAGUGUACCUGACGAAAAAGCAUCGGCUAACUCCGUGCCAGCGGCCGCGGUAAUACGGAGGAUGCGAGCGUUAUCCGGAUUUAUUGGGUUUAAAGGGUGCGCAGGCGGUUUGUUAAGUCAGCGGUCAAAGCCCGGGGCUCAACCCCGGCCCGCCGUUGAAACUGGCAGUCUCGAGUUGGAGAGAAGUAUGCGGAAUGCGCGGUGUAGCGGUGAAAUGCAUAGAUAUCGCGCAGAACUCCGAUUGCGAAGGCAGCAUGCCGGCUCCACACUGACGCUGAGGCACGAAAGCGUGGGUAGCGAACAGGAUUAGAUACCCGUGUAGUC
rnacentral:rRNA from 1 species